AGUGGCGAACGGGUGAGUAACACGUGGGUGACCUACCUUCGAGUGGGGGAUAACGUCCCGAAAGGGACGCUAAUACCGCAUAACAUCCUGCUUUUGAACAGGUGGAGAUCAAAGCCGGGGACCGCAAGGCCCGGCGCUUGAUGAGGGGCCCGCGUCUGAUUAGCUAGUUGGUGGGGUAAUGGCUCACCAAGGCGACGAUCAGUAUCCGGCCUGAGAGGGCGGACGGACACACUGGGACUGAGACACGGCCCAGACUCCUACGGGAGGCAGCAGUGGGGAAUUGUUCACAAUGGGCGCAAGCCUGACGACGCAACGCCGCGUGGAGGAUGAAGGUCUUCGGAUUGUAAACUCCUGUUGCCCGGGACGAAUGGCCUCGACCUAAUACGUUGAGGUGUGACGGUACCGGGUGAGGAAGCCCCGGCUAACUCUGUGCCAGCAGCCGCGGUAAUACAGAGGGGGCAAGCGUUGUUCGGAAUUACUGGGCGUAAAGGGCGCGUAGGCGGCCUGCUAAGUCGAUCGUGAAAUCCCCGGGCUCAACCCGGGAACUGCGACCGAUACUGGUUGGCUUGAAUCCGGGAGAGGGAUGCGGAAUUCCAGGUGUAGCGGUGAAAUGCGUAGAUAUCUGGAGGAACACCGGUGGCGAAGGCGGCAUCCUGGACCGGCAUUGACGCUGAGGCGCGAAAGCCAGGGGAGCAAACGGGAUUAGAUACCCCGGUAGUCCUGACCCU
rnacentral:rRNA from 1 species